CUCCAGCAGAUGCCACGCGCACCGGGUGCAAGUCACUUCAACACAUCAUCUUCCUCAUCUAUCCCCACCUAAUUUCUUCUGGCCUCCUCAUCAAACAUUUGGCAGCAUCCCAAGCACACACACGCACACCCACACGCAUGUGCAUCUGGCCGGUCACAUCUGUCUGCUUGCAUCAGCAGCGCCGGUCACAUCAGUGUUGUGUGUUUUUCUCCUAAGUGAUGCCCGCACAGCAUCUCCCCAUCUCCGCUCGUCUGCGUGCGUCACAAACACGCAGCGUCCGACAGAAGGCGCAUUAUAGUAAACACAAUGAGUCCGUCUAUUCCCACGACAAUCCCCGCAUCUGUGCGGGAGAUACCCGGGCCUGGACUGGUGCGGCUGGGAGGAAGCUGCUGCUGCUGCUGCUGCUGCUGCUGUCGCUGGUCAGGAUGUUUGUUUAGAGGCACUUAUACGUAUAUUUUUCCGACUGUGCAUAAUGCAUUUGUUACUUUCAGUUAAAUCGCUAUAUGUGCGUGUAGAAAGAUAGAAAAUGUAUAUAUUUUUUUUUUAAUUGUAUUGUUUAAUUUUGAUUUUAAUUCCAGCAUUUUAAUACUUAUCAUUUGAGCCGAACGAAUCAAGAGACGAUGUCGGGUUAAUCUACAUCAGGUCUGACAUUCUCAGUGACAACCAUUUCUGCUGGGGAGGCUAAAAAUGUCAAAUUGCUUAUUUUCAUAAUGGAGCUUGGCGGGGGCGCGUUUGUUCAGGCGAGCGGACGUUCCGGAUGUGCGCUCGCGCUGUGAUUUUUCGGUCCGCCCGGUUCGGACACGAGCAGCGGAGGCCCAGCCGGAGCUGCGGCCGAAUAGUUCGGUGUCACCGGCUGCUUUGGAAGCCGGAGGCAGACGGUCAGCAGGCCCCGCUGGGUGUCUGCUGCUGAGCUACUGCGCUGCUUCCUUCCUGCAGCUUCCCCCCUCCGUCAUCUCCCCCCUCCCCUUCUGCCGCCGACAAACAGCACAUUUAAAAAGGGGGACGAAAAGAAAGAAAGAAAAAAAAAUCACCGAGCCGGAAGGUGACCCGUUCCGCAGCAAGUCAUACCUGGUAAUCCAGUUAGUUGGAGCAAACCCGGUGUCCGUUAUAAUCUGGAGCGGAGACGGUCCAUUGUCCUGCUGUUGUCGCUUACGGCUCUGUCGGCUGCCUGACCUUUUAUUGUUUUGGAGCAGAAGACAGACGGAUGCGGACCGUUUGUUUUAAAGGCUGCAGCAGUGUUUCAGCGACAUCUGCUGGCCGAACACAGGAAGUGCUGUUCGGAUGAGACGCGCAACCCUGACAGUAAAUGUGGACAGAAGGCAGCCUGAAGAUUCCGCCUCCUGCGGUCUGAAGUCAGGGCCAAGAGCAGAGCAGAGCAGCUGGCCCCUCACUGACCAGACAAAGGGCCGGGGCCCCUCAGCAGGCUGAGUGCUCUGGGAGACAAAAAAGAAAACAACAAAUUUUACAACGUCUCCUCCUGAUAAACAAAGUGUUGCUGCUUUUUGUUGUGUUUUCCUCCAUAACAGCAAAGGUUCAACUCUUACUGUGUCUAGAACACAAGGAUGAGUUUUUUCAUGUGUAAAAAAUGAUAAAUAACUAAGUUAUUAAAUAGGAACAGUUAUAUUAGUUAGGUAGAAAAUUUUGACUUUAAAGAAAAUUGCAGCAUUUGUCACUUUUUCUUCUGCCUUUCCUUCACUAGACUCAGCAGCCUGGAGAUUUGAAUUAGCCUUCAUAGACAUCAACAUGGAUUACUAGCUUACCAUACAUAACAAGCCAUGUGUAGCUGAAAGCUUCACAAUGUAAAUGCCACACUUUUCAAAUUAGUAAAACAUUUUGAAAUGCAGAAUCUCAUGUAGAAGCAGAAUCAACCAAUAAUUUUGUAAAUAGAAAUGAAGAUUCUGUUUAAAGUAUCCUUUUUAUUGCUGUUCUAAUGAUCUGAGAUGCUGCACUUUGAAGGGUUAUUCUCUAUAAGCCAUAAUCAUCAAAUUUACAAGAAAUACAAAAGGCUUGGAAUAGUUUUGUUUAUGGGUAAUAAAUCUAGUUAAUAUGAAUUUUAUUUUCUAAAAUGAGUGACAAAAGCCUCUAAAUUUUUCCCUGACAUAUUAUUUUUAAUGUGCCAGCAUUAUUUCCCAACGACUUGACAAUUAUUUGUCACCUUUUUCUAUUUUUAUCAUCUAUCACAUUAAAUCCAGUAAAUAAAACACACAGAGGUUGGUGGUCGACAAACAUGACAGAAAUGUGGGGAAAAAAAGACUUAUGGCUUUGACCUUACAGUGUGAUUGUUGACAACAUGGAGAUCCUUUCAUCGUUACGUCUUUAGUUCCACAAUUAGAAUCACCGUCUGUAACAUUCAUUAUGGUUUCAAUUUUAAUGCUUUUAGUUUAAAACAGGCAGGAAAUGGACUGUACGUGUUUCAGUUUUAUUUAGAAGCUGUGCUAAUCAAAUGUGGCCAGAAGGGGGCAGCACAACGAGGUUUUUCCCCAAGUGGUGAGGCUAUUGGACUGAUUUUAGUUUUUAUCUUCACAGUUUCACUUUAAAGCGGCAGUAUUUUGUGUUUUCCAGCUCACACCGUCAUUUAUAGCGCAAACAAGUAACUAUGUUACUUUUAACUGUUAUAAAAAUGCUGCAUAAAUCUACUGAUUUAAAAGAAAUUUAACUUUGUAAUUUAAUGCCUUGAAUUUCUGCUUUAGUCUCUUUAAAAACUCCACCUCUUCCUGAAAGCUGCCUUCAGGAGGUCAUCACAGCAUUAACUGUUUAUCAGCAGCUUUGGCCUUGUAUUUUUUUCCUCAAGUCACUUGCGAAUUUAAUCAUUUGCAUUUUUGGGGGCUUGUUUGAAAAUAAAGUUGCUUCAAUGGGCA